AGCGAACGCUGGCGGCAGGCCUAACACAUGCAAGUCGAACGAUCCUUCGGGAUAGUGGCGGACGGGUGAGUAACACGUGGGAACGUGCCCUUUGGUUCGGAACAACUCAGGGAAACUUGAGCUAAUACCGAAUGUGCCCUUCGGGGGAAAGAUUUAUCGCCAUUGGAGCGGCCCGCGUCUGAUUAGCUAGUUGGUGAGGUAAUGGCUCACCAAGGCGACGAUCAGUAGCUGGUCUGAGAGGAUGAUCAGCCACAUUGGGACUGAGACACGGCCCAAACUCCUACGGGAGGCAGCAGUGGGGAAUCUUGCGCAAUGGGCGAAAGCCUGACGCAGCCAUGCCGCGUGAAUGAUGAAGGUCUUAGGAUUGUAAAAUUCUUUCACCGGGGACGAUAGUGACGGUACCCGGAGAAGAAGCUCCGGCUAACUUCGUGCCAGCCGCCGCGGUAAAAC
rnacentral:rRNA from 1 species